rnacentral:rRNA from 1 species
GGUUAAGCGACUAAGCGUACACGGUGGAUGCCCAGGCAGUCAGAGGCGAUGAAGGACGUGCUAAUCUGCGUAAAGCGACGGUAAGGUGAUAUGAACCGCUACAGCCGUCGAUGUCCGAAUGGGGAAACCCGGUGCACUCUGUGCAUCAUUGCAGCAUGAAUACAUAGUGCUGCAAGGCGAACCGGGGGAACUGAAACAUCUAAGUACCCCGAGGAAAAGAAAUCAACCGAGAUUCCCCCAGUAGCGGCGAGCGAACGGGGAGCAGCCCAGAGCCUGAAUCAGUUUGUGUGUUAGUGGAAGCGUCUGGAAAGUCGCAGGGUACAGGGUGAUACUCCCGUACACAAAA